CGCCCGUUACAUUUUUAGCGGGUAGAUUCUGCCCAAUGAUUAAAUGGCCGCAGUAUCCUGACUGUGCUAAGGUAGCAUAAUAAUUUGCCCUUUAAUUGGGGGCUGGUAUGAAUGAACUGACGUUAUACUCAGGUCCUGAAUAAAGUAGAGGGACGACAAGACCCUAAAAGCUUUACUAGUUUUUACUGGGGCGGUAACUACUAGAGUAAUUGAAACACCCUGAGUGAAAGUUACUUUAGGGAUAACAGCGUUAUUAUCUGCAAGAGCCCCUAUCGACCAGAUAGAUUACGACCUCGAUGUUGAAUUGAAGGAGACUGUUCGUCUUUUAAACCCU
rnacentral:rRNA from 1 species